AUUGUAUGAAUUUACAAGCCAUAAAAAUGGCAUUGGCACGGCAGAAAUUUGAAGAUGUGCCUAAACCCACCUAGCACCCGAUCGAUCCCCGGCUUGCGCAUCCUGCCUCUCCGGCCGGCUGAGCGCCCGCACGCUCGUUCCGUGGGUUGACUUAGGCAUACGGAGCUCAUUCCAUGUCUAAGCCCCAGUCGGACCGAGGGUCGCGGCAGCUGGACCGGCAGCGGGAUCGGCAGCAGCACGCGGGGGGACCGGGCCGAUCCCCGGCUUGCGCGUCAUGCCCCUCCGGUCGACUGAGCGCCCGCACGCUCGUUUCGUGGGUUGACUUAGGCAUACGGAGUUCAUUCCCGAUCUAAGCAUACGGAGCUCAUUCCCGGUCUAAGAUCGGACCGGCAGCGGGAUCGACAGCAGCACGCGGGGGGGACCGGGUCGGUCUCCGGCUUGCGCAUUAUGCCCCUCCGGCCGGCUGAGCGCCCGCACGCUCGUUCCGUGGGUUGACUUAGGCACACGGAGUUCAUUCCAUGUCUAAGCCCCAGCCGGACCGAGGGUUGCGACAGCUGGACCGGCAGCGGGAUCGGCAGCAGCACGCGGGGGGACCGGGCCGAUCCCCGGCUUGCGCAUCAUGCCCCUCCGGCCGGCUGAGCGCCCGCACGCUCGUUCCGUGGGUUGACUUAGGCAUACGCAGUGCAUUCCCGGUCUCGACCGACCGAGGGCCAGAGGCUAUCGACGGCGUUUGGGGCAACGACCGAGGGGACCCAACAGCGGAUCCUUGGCCGGCUCGCGCAUCCCGGGGACCGGCAGCGGGAUCCUGGGUCGGCUCGCGCAUCCCCCCCGCGGUCGGUUCGGUGCGGCACGCUCGUU
rnacentral:lncRNA from 1 species